CUUCGUGGAUAUAGUCGCUGCAGAACCGAAGGGGGGAAGUGGACUUUUUAUCCACAUCGCAAGGAAAGCUAGUGAAACAGAACAUCAAGGUAAGGCCGGAUCUCUACAAAAGACGCCAGAGAAAUGCUCGACAUCAGCUGUGAGAGCAUUUUGUUUGAUGAAGUGGCCGUUAACGAUAUUCCGGCCUAUCGUCCUGUUCAAGUGAGGAACACAAGUGGAUCUCCACUGUUGGUGAAACUCACCACCACCAGCCCAGUCGUUCAGUUUCAGCUUCACAACGAAAACUAUGAAGCAAUCAAGCGCGUAGGCUUUGCUGACACUCUCUCCGUCUAUAGCGAAGCAUUUGAUCUCGUGGGCCUCAUCUCAUCUAUUGAAUUGGCGCCUUUCGAGGAAAAGGACCUCAUCGUGUGGUUUCGCGCUGAUGCGGCCACGUUUUCACACCUCGUGAAGGGAUCGCAGCCUGUUCCUUACACUGGAUCCCUGCAGCUCACUGUAGCGAAUCCAGCACCGGCGUCUUCCCUCGGAAACGCACUGAGGGUAGACGGAAAGAAGAGGGUAGCAACGCAGCAGCCGGCUGCCGCCUGCAUCACGAUACCGUUUCGAGCAAACGUGUAUGUGUCCUGUUUGCAACUCUCAUCCACUGAGCUGCAUAUCACCAUGGCUCCGAACAAAACCCAGGUGACUGACUUUGUCGUCACCAACACGUCCUGCCAGCCGGUGUACUUUGUCAUCCGUGAUCAAGCGAUGCCGCUACGUGGUCUUGAUGUUGCACUGUAUGAGUCUGAUAAAUUCGAAGAGCCAAAGUUAGGACACCGACUUCUGCUGGACAGCUACGCAUACAUGACUUUCUCGUUGAUCCUGCGAUCCUCCACGACUAGCUCGACUGCGCAGCAGCAGUACCACACCAUCUUUCAGUGCGACAACCUGCGCGAUAAUCGCAAUACGACAUUCUUGUAUGUGAGUGUCAACGUGGUGGCAGAAUCGCAAGGUGACCUCGUCGCGUUUCACGACACGUCCGUCAAUUUCGGCGACGUGUAUCGCGGCACUAAAGCGAUGGCGACCAUUAGGGUUCAAAGCCUCGAUGACCGCGAGGAGGCGGUGCUGCGACUUGGCGACGUGGAUCGGAGAAAAUGCGAGGGAAAAGUGUCGCUGAUGAAGGGUGACGCCGCCGUUGCCGAGAUGACAAUCGGCUCGCAGAAAGGAAAUCAGCUCAACACCGUCACACUAAUGUACCAGCCGUUCUACGACGGCGACAGCAAGGACGAAUCAAAAAUAAAGUUUGAUGUGGAGCUUUUGGUUGUGUCGGCUGAUCGCGGGCACAGCCAGCGCGUGGUUAUCCGGUGCGCAGCCGUUCUGUACACGAGCAACAUAGUGGUGUCGCAGCGGUCCGUCAACUUUGGCGACUGCCAAGUCGGGCAGAGCAAACGCUUCACGCUGCAGAUCGAAAACCGCUCGCCAUUGCCGGGGAAAAUCAUUGUACAGCUGCGCAGCAAAAUCAUUCGAAUUGAAGGCGUCUCGACCCCGCAGAAGCUUGCUGGUCGCGAGUUGAAAGAGGAGUUCUCUGUAGCACCGUCUGCAUCGCUCCCGAUAACGUUGCGAAUCACCCCGCAGCGUGUCAAUCCAAUGUACCGCAAGCAGCUGACAAUUAUCAACGCCUCUAAUCCGGCGGAGGACCGGCAAGUGAUCAACAUAGAGGCGAAUAAUAUGGCGCCGCUUGACGCGAAGCUGCACGAUGAGCUGUAUUCAUGGAAAUGCGACCUUGGCAAUAUCGACAGUACCAACAGUCGCAGGGGCCCGUCAACGCUGUGGGCUAUUUCGGGUGUACCACUGAUUGUUCCGUACAGUGUGCAGUCAAAGGUGGAUUACAAAGUGGUGCUGAAUCUGCGCUCCUCGUGCCCUGAGAUUGAGGUGUUCUACUCGUCCGAUGCAGUGGUCUGUGACCAGCUGGGAAAGAUCGCGACAGAGAUGCGCUCAUUUUGUGUUUACGGCGAGAGCGAGGACGCCAGUUACCUCACAAAUGAGUCGGCGGAGCAGCUUUUCACCGUGCGUGAAGAGCUGCUGCGACUCUUGAACGAAACGUCGCACAACAUUACCAACCGCAUCACGUUGGAGCCAUUGGUGUCGAUAAAGGCGUACGUGCUGAUUAUUCGCACAGCCUCUCCCACAGAGCCGCUGACGAAGGAGGACGGUAUCUCGAUAGCGGUGGACGGAAUUGAGGCGCCGCGCUUUGUGCGGCUGUCGUACCGACUCUGCGGCACGUCGUUUGAGUUGAAUGGGCAAAAGACGAAGAAUUUCGGCGAGGUGAACAUCGGCGUGAAGAAGACGACAAAGCUGCCAAUAGUGAACCGUUGCAAUUCGUUUUUGUACCUUCAUCUGUCGAAGUCGCGCUCCGUGACAGCCGAGCAUAUUCGCAUGGAAAACAGCGACAGGCGGUCCAUCUUUCUCACGAUUCGUCCCUACGCGUCGCGCGAGAUCGAGCUAACUCUGUAUCCUGGCAUCAAGGGCGUAUUUCAGGAAAAGAUUCGCGUCUCGAACAUACUCAAUAUCAAGAACACAAUAACCAUGACACUCAAGGCGACGGUGACCAAGGCAGAUACGUUCGAAAUCAGCCCAGAUUCGUGGACGUUCGAGAUGAUGGUCCCUUCCUCGUCAAGCGUGCCUGUGCUCUUGACAUCAUCGCCGCCGUUUCCAAAGGCAGAAGAAGCCGCUGCCGCGGCGAAUACUCGCAUGGGUGCAAAGUUCACCGUAUCAAACACGAGUAACGCGCGCCGGCAAAUUGUUGUUCGAUUGGAGCUGAAUAGCGGCGCCGCAGCGAGCAACGUGAGCGCAGCGAACCCCUACUUGUCAUUUGCGGGUGUGAAGGUGGCGGUGCAGCUGGACAUGACGCUGAGUGGGGCGACCUCUGUCUCGGCACGCAAGCUGGAGGAGCAAAUCGAAAAGCUAGAGCAGAAGCUGAAGAUUUACGUGCGGAAAAAUAAGACGGAAAAGGCCGAAAACGCAAUGCGCAAGAUUGCGGCAUACAGACUGGCGUUGAAGGGUGAAGAGGUCGACCUGACGGCUCUGGAAGCAGCGCAGUCAGGCAUGCAAAGCACCACCGAUCACGAGCUCUCGGAGAGCGAGGAUGACAGCAGCGGUGCUGCGCUGCAGGUGUGGAGGAACAAAACCCAACAGGGUGACAUUGUGCAGCUACUGCGCCGCGAAGGCGUCGCGUUGCCAUCAAUGGACACCGGCGAAUCCGUCAUAAUCACGUUGUUUCUCGGGUGUAAACGUCUCGUGGAGGAGCCGAUCCCAGUGUCACAGGCCCAGACAAUGAACCUACUCUUCUUUGAGGCGCGAGAUCAGGAGGCAAAUCGCAUUAUUCCGAUCGACUUGAUCCUGAUGCGCACGCCCGGCGACGCCGCGACGCAGCAGCUGCUCGCUGCUCCAUCCGUUGGGGCAACACCGCAGACGGUGUUGCCUUUUACAGCAGCCGCGCCCGCUGUCGUUGCGCCGUCGGCGUCUCCGUCGCUACCGUCGCCGUCGCACCGGCACAGCGAGUCGUUGCAGCUCUCGCCCGAUAACGCCACGGUCACGUCCGCGUCUGCAUCUGGCGGCGCCUUGCAAAGUGGCAGCUCUUUUCCCGGUAGUAGUGGAGCAGCUUCUCGCGCUGUGCAGAGUCGUCCACCGCCAUGCAUUCGUCUCAUUACAACAGGCCCCCACGCUGGGAACAGCGAUGGACGCCCUCAAUCCACCUUUAUGGGGCACCCCUUGAUUGUCUUGCGCAACUGCAUCGUGAAUGACCAGACCGAGUUCAGCUUUGUGGUGAAGGCCAACGCGAACACAACGAUCGUGGUUCUCGAGCCGCGGCGAUGCGGCGGCAGCGUUGCAGCGGUGCUGGAUGCGCGCUUCAAACUCUUUCCUCGAAACGGCCACGUGCGUCAACAGGAGCCACUGCGCAUUGUCGUGGAGUGCACGGCGCGGAGCGUUGGCCCCCAAAAGUACUUCAUUCCUGUGAAAAACAUCUGCAACGCUGCUGACGUGCAGUACCUCACGGUCGAGAUGAAUCCAACGGAGGAGAUCGAGAUGCUGACGACGGAGCCGAAGGAACUGCUGUUCCGCGACGUCAUUACACCGUGUGCGGCGUCGCAGCUGGAGACGCAGCUUGUGCUGAUCCGCUGCCGCUUCUCCUUCCCGCAUGCCCUCAUUGUGCGCACCAAUAAGCCGUCACAGCUGGCUCUCUUCGAGGAUGCGUCCUGCACGGUGCCGCUGCUGCACCCGAUACGCCAUAUCUUCGUGAAGGAGACAGUGCGUGUGUACGUGCAGCUCCGUCCUGGCGCCCGAUACGUUGAUCCGUGCGCACGGCAAAUCCGCGCCGGUGUUCUCGUGGAGGCGGUGGCGCCGAAUCCCGCCGUGUCGAGCACCGCGUACUGCGUGGUGGGGAAGGCGAUUCUGCGCACGACGGCGUGCGUUGGCAGUGGGCUUCUCGAAGUGCUGCAGGGAAGCCUCGACCUGGGGUGCGUGGCGCCAACGCAGGAUUACGUCAAGACGCAUUUUACGGUGCGCAACACCUCCCACACGUUUGCUUUGCGCGUUGCGCUCGUGCCGUCAUCGCCGCUGCUAGAGGUUGCGGAAGAGACGUCCGCUGGCAACGAAAUCGUGGUGGCUCCUCUCCAGGAGCACAUGGUUCCCAUGCUGGUUCAUCUGCCAGUACCUGGCCUCACGUGCGAGUUCGUCGACGUGAUGAACCGCAGCAGUUCGCAGGAGACAAUGCGGGUGCCGCUGUCUGCACUGAGAAUGAAUGACGGUAUCAUGCAAGUGGACCCGCCUGUCAAUACGCGGCUGACCUUUCCAGUCGCCGCGGUGGUGCGAGGCGAGCAAGGGAGGCAGCUGCAUCUGCAUCAGCCUGUUUCGUACUCGGUAAAGCUGGCAAACUACAAUAACCACCGCGAGGUUGUCCUGGAAACGACAACCGCCGUCCACGCGUCGUGCGCGCUGCCGCUGUGGUUCCACACGCCGGACGACGAGUCAAAGGUGCGUGCCGCCUUUGAAGAGGAACAGCGUCAUGCGCUGGAGGCGGCGGACGACUCGCCGACGUCGACGUCGGGGCAGAUGAGUGAGCCGCGCGCGGGGACGGUCGCGCCGACCACGACACCGGUGGCCGACCAGCCGCCGGCAAUGUACACGAGGGGUCGUGUGGAGCUGAAGGCGAACCACACCCAGAUUGUCACAUGGACGUUGACCAGUUUACCCACGCUCACGUCAGAGGAGGUGGCGGCAGUGCUGCAGUAUCAGAUGGUGACUAUAACGACGACGCUGCAGGUGUACGUGACAUACACGGCGCACUCUGCACGCGCUGGCGCGGCGGCAGGUGGGUGGCAGCCCUACUCUUCCGGAACAACGCCGCAGGAAAGUCGGUAUCGCGGGCCAACUGUAGGUCAAUGCGUUCUGCUCGUCCCCAUCACGCUCUCGCUGGCAAUGAGUGAGGGCAGGGCGGAGCCGGCGGUGGUGAGCUUGGGGCUUGUGGGUAAGGCGACAUCGUUGCCCACCUCUCCCAGCUCUUCGGCUUCCUCCGUGUCUUCGUCCAACGAGGAGCACGAUGCUGCAACGGAGCACGGACUCGAUACCUUCGCAAGCGGCAGGGAGGAGGAGAUGGUCCUCGCGGCGCGUCAGCGCCGCCGUCGUCGUUCGUGCGUUUCGAAGCUGCGCCGUCCGCGAAACCACACCUUCAGCGCCUUUGCCUCCAAGCCGGGCCUGCCGCAGCCGUCGAGCCACAACAUGGUCGUCUCGUUCCGGCUUAUCAACUUAUCGGCCGUCAUACCGCUGCCGCUCAAGGUGGAGUGCCCGCCCGUGGUGCGGUUCUCUCAGACGCGCCUGACGAUCCCACCAGGGGAGAGCACGGUUGUCCAGGCGGCACUGAACAUGAAGCUCAUCGCGACGCAAGGGACGUUCCGUUACGAGGCCUUCUUUGUGAACGAAUGGAAUCCGGAGAACGACAUGGCGGUCUGCAUCACGGGGCAGCACUACUGGAAGGUGUUUCAGGUGCUGCGGGCCGACACGCAAGAGGAGGUGCGCGAGUCGCUCACAGUGGCACCGCUGCGCGUGGAGCCGUCGCUGCGGGUGCCGCUCGCCGAGGUGAAGCUGCACUUUGCCGCGACAGAGCCGGACGUCGAGCUCGAUCUGCAUCUGCAGCCCAACCCCCAGCUGGACGGCCUGCUGGAGCUUCUGCUGCUGCACUACGACGCUACCUCAGCCGUGCGGCACCUGAGCUUCCGCUCAGACGCCGUGACACCCACCUCCCCGGCCGCCACAAGCGUUGCAGGCGGGGUAGCAGCCGCCAGCGCCGUGCAGGGAAGCGCUGGCGCGGCGGCGGCCGGGAUGACGAGCCUCACCACAAGUGGCGCCGCUCCUCCAGCCAGCGGCAGUGCGAUCGCCGUGGCUGCAGCAGGAGCUGGGGCUGGGCUGGGCGGUGGGCUCGCCACAUCCGGGCCAGCCAACACGAGCAUUGGCCUGCCUAGCGGGGGCACGCCUGGCAACCUGCAGCCCGGAACCCCGUCAGAAGUCGCGACGACAGCGACAGCGACAGGGUUUCCAGCGCUCGGUGCGACCAGCGCCGUGUUGCCAGUCGACGAGUUUUUCAGCGCGGCUGCGACCGCCCCGGCCGGUGCCGCGAGUGGCGCUUCCAUCGCUGCUGCAGCCGCGAUCAAAGGGAAGUCACGCAAGACGGGCGCCAGCAGUACUGCAGGCACGGUUGGCACGGCUAACGGCGGCGCAGCGACUGCGGCCACACCCUCGCAGACGCUGCGGCUCCGCUGCCUGCUGCGUAGCGGUGACUUGAGCUCGCUUGUAUCUCUCUUCUAUGGCUACCGGAAGGCGCGCGCGGCCGGCACUUCAGCACAGGCGACCACCGCCACAACAAAUGCGAAAGGCAUCGGUGCCGGUGCGGCGACCACGAGUUCCACCGUAGCGGUGCCGCCGGCCCCACCGGACAUCACGGCAUUGGAGACUGCAGGUGCGAACAGCAACGCCGGCGCCGUUACCUGGACGUACGACCGGAUUGCAGAGCUGGAACGGCGCAACGCGUCUCUGGCGUCGAACAACGUGUGGCUUGGCACCGUUGUCGUGAAGAACCCUUUCACAGAGGUGGAGGAGGUGCAGGUGUACGGCACGCUGGCGCCAUUUCGCACCUUCUCGGCGCCGUCUAAGGUGAUGCUAAGGCCCUGCCGAGUGAGCGUGGAGUCGGUACCACGGCCGAGCACCAGCGCAGCUGCUCCACAGGCCUCCACGCACCGCGGUGCACCUCAGGUGGGUUAUGUGGGUGAGAUCAGCAUAACAAACGAGUUUGACGUGUACGUAGCCGAGCUCUCGGUUGUGGUUCUCGUCCACGAGCGCCUCGCUGUGCCCCUGCAUAUCGACGUGCGCGGAGGGUGCCGCCAUGCGGUGGACACGGUAUCACCCGAUGCAGCAGCGGGCGCAAUACCGUCCGUGCCUGAUGCAGCGCUUGAGGACGAGGAGGCCACUGAAACGGACAUCGGCACGACAUCUGCUUUCAGCGCAUCACUGCGUCCAGGAGUGCCGGUUGCCACGUCGUUCCUGACGGAACUCGCCACAGACGGCGCCGGGCCGGUGUCGCUGCCUCACUGCAUACACCUUGGCCCUCACGAGACCGUCGUGGUGACGGUGGCGAUUCGCCCAGCGGAUGUGCGAACGCUUCAGCCAACCCCCAUGUCACCGACGACAGCCAUCCCCACCGCUCUGCCGACGCCGCUGUCGUUGCCUUCGCUGGAGGAAUUCGUGUCCGUGGCAUUGGUAGACGAGAACGCCCCGUUCAGCUACGUUGUGAGCCGUGUGAGCGUUGUGACGCCGACGAGUGGGGCAGAGGCGCUGCCCAGCAUCGUGCUCAGCUCCGUCACCACCACCAACACGGCAGCGACGGCCACCAGUGUUGCUGCUGCGUCCGACGCGAGCACGAAGGACGGAGAGGCGGAAGCUCGCCCCAGCGCACCGCUUCCACCAGCCGCGCACCGGGACGACUCGACCGGGCCGCUGAUGACGCCUUCGGCCACGUUGGCAGGCGAGGGGCUAACGAUGGUACUAACGACGCCGACAGCAUCGGAUGAGGCACCACAGCAGCUCAGUCUCUCCAGCAGCAAGCAGGCGUCUGACCUGGUCCUCGCCGGCGGUACUGCAGCAGCGGCAGCGACGGGCGAGCCGGAGGCGGAGCCUGCAGCCGAGGUGCUGCUGCCACCGCAAGGUAGCACGCCAUGUGGUUCAGAGGGCGCGGCAGAGGGACCGUUGGUGCCCCUUGCUGGCGUAAUCACGACGCUGGCGCCGUCGCUUGCAGCCGCGCCGCGUCAGUGGGUGUUGUCCCUCCGAAACUGCGACGCGUUGCCCGGGUGUGGAGGGGCGUACCUCUUCAACUUCUCUGUUCCGCGCGACGACACAUACGAACCAAACAUCCUUAUCACGAAUCACGCGCCGGACAGGACGGUGCGGUACACAGUGCAGGUGAUCUCGCAGAGCCCGCAGGUGUGGCUGCUCCUUACCACAACAACGGGGGUACUGGAGGCGGGCGAGACGCAGCCGCUGCGGUUGCAGGUGCUGUCAUCCGAGGUCGGCUCCUUCGUCGGCUACGUGGCCAUCACGAACACCUGUGAUGCACGCGAGGUGGUAUACCUGCGCCUGAACGCAGAGGUGUUUGUGCCCGGCACGGCCGAAGGCUUCUUUGACGUCGUUGCCAUGAACGAUGGCCAUCGCCUCGCCACCACCAACGCGGGGCACAGCGUGUAUAUGGGCGCACUACACGGCGCUGGUACCAGCCGUGCGCUGAUGGCGCUGGAGAUCGUGAACAAGGGUAGUGUUGCGCUGGAGUUCCCUGUGUCGGUGGUGCAUCCGAUGCGGCAGGAGUUGCGGCCCAUUCCCCAGAGCGUCUGGUACGGCACGGCGGUGGCGGCGUCGGGGCACCGUCGCAGACACGUCGCCUCAGGGAUACUGCCUCAACGCAUUUCCUUGAACGACGACGGAAGCGCGGCCUCACUCACGUUGCCUCGAGCGUCACGUGCUGCGCUGGAUCAGCAGGCUGACCUCACGGCAGUCGGGUCUGCCGCCGGAACAGCAGCAGCAGCAACGCAGAAGGGUGCCGUUGAUGGAACUGUGCGCACCGCCGGCGGCAUCGAGGAAGCCUUGCCCACGACACAGCCGUUUGGUCAGCCGAAGCGACUUCUGUCGCCUCACCACACCAGUCUUCACCAUCAACGCGGCGGAGUGCGACCCGGCAGUGGCGUGGCGGCUGCGCCGACGUCUACCGCCUUAUCUUCCACGGCCAGCACCUCUGCCUCCCCGUUUGAGGGUAAACUGAUCGUGUGCCAGAUCCACGGCGUCCCGACACGCACGGGCCAGAGGUACUUCGUCGUCGACCCGCGCUCUCGCAUGCGACUGGCGUUUGUUCUUAGCUGCAACGCACUUCACGACAUCCCGGAGGGGUACGGGGUGUUUGGCCAGACCGAUGUGGUGUUCCGCUGCAAGCAGGCACGCGAUGCUCUAUUCAGCUUCAACGUGAAGUUCGAGGCGUACCGACCCACGUUUGCAGUGGCGCUUGAGUACGACAUGGACGCGGCGGAGAGGACUGCUGCAAGUGCAGGUGCCGUGGCCGCGCUGAGGUCGGAGGCGGUCGUGAGCUCCGCGGACGCGCUGGAGCCCGUUGACGGCAGCGCAUCCCCCAAAGCGUCUGCUGCCCCAUCUCUGCCAUCGCCGCCGGCCUCGACGGCGACGUCGCGCUGGGCCGAGGUGGAGGUGGCCGUGACAAAUCUGAGCCGCAGCCACACGCAGGUGUUCGUGCUGUACACGCAGUCGGAGGUGCUUUCGCUGUCAGUCCCCGGCGCGGGGCCAUCGGCUCACAGCGUGUGCGCCGGCAGCGCGCUUCUUCCGCCGCUUUCUCGUGCCGUCGCGGAGGACGACGGGCACGGCGCUGCCGCUGCUGCGGGCAGUAGUGGCGGCCCUGUCUUCGCGCCUUCCGGGGUGGAGAUAGCAGUGAGCCCGCAGUCCGUUGGCGUCUUUGCUGUUCGUCUUGAUCGGCUGCGAGCAGAGGCGCUCCUGAAGUUCGACAAGGACGAGUCGAUGCUGGCCCGCCCCGCGCUGUGCGAGCACGCGUUCCUGUACAAUAAGGGCAACCCUCGCGAGCGGGUGCAGCUUCUGUUCCGGCAGCAGGCGCUUCUGGCGCAGCCACGGCGCCAAGCUCGCGCAGCCGCCGGGUCCUCCUCGGCGGUCGACCCUUUAUCUCCGACGCUGGCGGAUGUGAAGCCGGUGAAGGGUGGCAGCCAACACUUCCGCGAGCGCCACAUUUUGGGCUUUGCGCAGCGCUUCUCCGCAGUCAUGACGUCGCUGGCGGAUCGCGUGCCAUUCCUGACGCGGCCAGAGGACGUGGCGGAGUCGGUGAGGUCGCACAAGAGUGUGGCAGGCAGCAGCAGCACCGGUGUGGGUGGUGGAGGCGGUGGCAGCGGCGCAGCAAGCACCACUGGGGGAGGGGGAGGAGAUGGCGUGGGCAGCGUCGCGAAUGCUGGGGCCGCAGCGGGAGUCGCAGCAAUGCGGGUUUCCGCAGGCACCGCAGCGUCCACAGUGGCCGGUGUCACCAGCAGCGUCGCCUCCUCGAAUUUCAACGUAGCGCAUCACUCCACUAGCAGGAACCAGCGUAGUCACCGAGACAGAGACAGUGGCCCUGUUGCACAUCGGGGUAACACACACCGCUCCAGGCAGGGCGAUUCUUUCCGCGACGACACGUCCGAUGGCGGUACUGCGAGCAGCAGCAGCGGCACCAGCUCCACCACAAGCAGUUGCUCCGGUGAUGUGGCCGACAGCGACGACUUCGCGAGCGAGAUUGCGGAGGUGGCGGCCGACCGAACACUGGACAGCACGCUCACGGAGGACAACUUCGACCAGCCGUCGCGCGAUGGCUGUAACGAUGCUAGCGACAUCGCAGUAGGGGAGGUGAUCGGGGAGAGCGGCGAGAGCGCUGCGACCGGGUGCCCCACAGACGCCCAGAACAGCAGCGGCGGGGCGUCUGGUGACCUUGCCCCUCAUGCGCUAUUCCGCUCGUCGUCCCACCCAUGUAUGCGUAGCAGUGAGGGCCCUAUCGGUUCGGUGGUCGCGUCGUCCCUCUCAUCUCUGCUGCCUUUAGGGACAUCACUGGCGCGCUCGAGCAGCGGUGGCAGCCAUCCCAGCAACGAGGACCCCCAUUGGUACGACACCCUUAUCACAUUGCACGACUUGUUGGUUGAGUUGACGUGGCUGUGUGAUGAGCUCCUCUUCUACGCGAUUCUGCUCCGCAAUUCUCGCCAUGUGGAGGCGUGCAUGGCCUUUCUCGUUUCGGCUGUCGCGCAGCAUCCUGUGAUGGUGGCGUGGCGUCGGCGCCGCGGCAGCACCGGUCGCUCUCGUAAGUACGACAUCUUUGGGCAGUUCCUUGAAACCCUCGACGCCCUCCCGCGUCUUUCCUCCACGUCUUCCUCUUCCGGUUCCUAACGAGCAACCGCAGUCCUGUGAGAGUAGUCGAGUAAGGAAUGCGGUGUCAGUGAUGCGUGACACCACGGUCUCUCUUUCUUUCUGUGUGUGUGUGUAUGAUGUAUGCUGGCUUCCUGUCUCGGGCUCCCCGCCCUCUUCUUGUCUCUUCCACGAAAAUGGUGUUCGUGGGAGCAACACACGCCCGCACAUCCUCGUCCGUCUGUCUGUGUCGCAUGCAUGCGCUAAACAGUGUCGUGGUGGUGACGGCGCUUGGCUUGUUGAUCCGUUGAUGUGAUGCUGCUUGCUGCUUGCUGCGUGCUGUCCUGACCAUCUGCCUCGGUGUCUCGACUUCCUUUUAUUUCGUGGAUGUCUCUCGUCGACAGUACUUUGAGCUUUCCGCCGCCACGGCAAACAGAAAAU
rnacentral:misc_RNA from 1 species